UAUCCGGAUUUAUUGGGCGUAAAGGGCUCGUAGGCGGCUCGUCGCGUCCGGUGUGAAAGUCCAUCGCUUAACGGUGGAUCUGCGCCGGGUACGGGCGGGCUGGAGUGCGGUAGGGGAGACUGGAAUUCCCGGUGUAACGGUGGAAUGUGUAGAUAUCGGGAAGAACACCGAUGGCGAAGGCAGGUCUCUGGGCCGUCACUGACGCUGAGGAGCGAAAGCGUGGGGAGCGAACAGGAUUAGAUACCCUGGUAGUCCACGCCGUAAACGGUGGACGCUGGAUGUGGGGCACGUUCCACGUGUUCCGUGUCGGAGCUAACGCGUUAAGCGUCCCGCCUGGGGAGUACGGCCGCAAGGCUAAAACUCAAAGAAAUUGACGGGGGCCCGCACAAGCGGCGGAGCAUGCGGAUUAAUUCGAUGCAACGCCAAAAACCUUACCUGGGCUUGACAUGUUCCCGACGACGCCAAAAAUGGCGUUUCCCUUCGGGGCGGGUUCACAGGUGGUGCAUGGUC
rnacentral:rRNA from 1 species